GGUGCAGACACUCCUGCAACAGAUGCAAGAUAAAUUUCAGACCAUGUCCGACCAGAUCAUUGGAAGAAUUGAUGACAUGAGCAGUCGCAUUGAUGACCUGGAAAAAAACAUUGCAGACCUCAUGACACAGGCUGGGGUGGAAGAGCUGGAAGGCGACAACAAGAUCCCCGCCACACAGAAAAGUUGAAGGUGGCUCAAUUGCACUGAAAUCCAGAACACCCUUUUUACAAGCCAAGAGACGACGGAUGGCUUUUUGCAACUAACUACUAUGUGUAGACAGGUUUUAUAUUAUAAAGUGUGCAUUCUUCUUGCCACAUACUAUAGAGUUAGGUUAUAGAGUGACCUCUCCCCCCCACCCCCCGUGUUUCCUGAACAUGGUAACUUCCUAUCUUGGACCUUGGUCAGUUGUGCUAUUAAACACUAAAACUUUGGCAGUUCCUGCGAACAAUUGUCCAAUUUUUUAGUGUAUUUUUGUGCAGUCGGUUUUUUCCUAUCUUUCCCUUCGUAGCAGUUGCUGUUGGAUGAAAGUCGUUGUGUAGUUCUUUUAAUUAGACGUGGAGUAGAUCCUCAGUUAUAAUUAGGUUUUGUGACGUGAAACAUUUAUAGUUAGGGUUCUUUAAUUCUCAGACCGUGACUGUUCAAUGAACACCAAAUAGUGUGCUGAUAGAGUUUCAGGUGGUUGAAAACAUGUCAAAUUGUGUGUUCAGAACUAUCUGACACUACUGUGCCACCCAACCUCGGAAUUGAACCGUGAUUUUAUGUCCGAGUCCCUGAGGUCAGAUGCUACAGUGACAAAGAGUGACCACUGCCACUUAGGUUAGAAUUCUUAAACAUGGAAAGUAGCAAAAUUGCCUGGUGUCCGGAGGCCUUUCGUAGUUAGAGUUUUGCAUGACGUUUGAGCACUUCAGUAGGCCGUGCUUUGUCCAUCGGCAGUAGUUCCCAUAGGAAAUCUGGCGGGAUUGGACGACUCUGCUGCUUCGUGUCUUGAGCUCCUGGCUGGGCAAAGAGACAGGCAAGAAGAGCAGACCGUGUCCAGUCCGGCCAGUGACUUGGCUAGGAGAUGAGAAGUGAUUUGUUAGAGGCUCGAGUUUUUAAGGAACUCUGUUUCUGAAAACUCUUUCUUACCUAAAUCCCAGCAGAGCAAUGGUUUUGUUAUGGGUGCCGGGAGACACUCACCCUUGCAGCUUAGCAGGAGGGUGAGCCUGGAGGCCAGCGCUGACAGGAGGAGGCCCGCGAGGCCGUCCCGGGGCCGUCCCGGCGGGGUGAUGUGAGCAAUGGCCACUGUGCUUUGGAGAGGGAAACCCUUCGUCAACAGGGUGUGUGUUUUCAGAGUUUUCCUGUGUCACCAGUCUCAAUUGUUUGUAUUGCACAUAUAUAAUAAUAUUAAGGAAUAAUUUGUCCUGUUUAUAAAUUUUACGGGGAACACAAAGGAGUGGAUUUCUCCUGGGAUGAAAUGGAUUCCCCACUGUCGUUAUGGCGCCACAGAAACUCCUUUGCCGGGCCAGUAGGUCAUGCUCCGAGGUGUAGCCCUGAGAGCCCGGAGCCGGCUGGAUUCUGAGGACUAAACGGAGCCGUGUGUGGGAUGCGCCCGGGACUGGGAUGUGGCAAGGGAACAGUCGGGCAGAGGGCGUCAGCUUCCUUAGGUCCUGGGCAGGUGUCAGAGCAAGCUCGGGAGACCAGAAACACCUGCUGUGAAUAAAGGUGCCUGAAUCCUGCUGCUGACGCUUCCUUCCUUUGUGUCGUAAGUGAUUGGUUUGGUUUUCCAUGUUUUCAUACCAUUUUAGAUGAUCAGCUCGAACCUCUGCAAGGAUUCAGUACCAGUAGCCCAAGUGGGAACGGGUACCACGAGGGGACUGUGCUGCUGGAAGGGACACUUGGGAGCGCAGAGGCCUCCCACAUCCGGCCACAGAGAGCCAGGCCUUCUGCCCUCCAGCAGGGCCCCUGCCCUGCCGGUAUAUUCCCAGGACACGCGGUCCCUCUCCAGCAGAGAGGGCUCGUGCUUCUCUGGGGGUGUAGACUCUGCUGUUCAUGUAAUUGACCUGCUGGAAGUUCACUGUGCGAAUUAGCACAGGAGAGCCUCGGCCUCUGGAGCCGAAAUGGGAUUUAACUCCUGCCAGUUUCCAAGUUACUUGACCAAGGAUCCCCCCACCCCCCGCACUUAGUACCAAAUAAGGAUUUUAUUGAACCAGCCUCUGGCGUCAAACACACCUAGGGAGAUAGCAGUGAAAGAAGUCCACUAAAUGGCUUGGGGUUCACUUCUUAAACGCCUGCACAUCAAGAGCCACUUGACACUCAUUCCUCAGCCUCCAGGCGAAGCUCUGCUUUGAGCGAGAGGGGCCCUCCGACCCUGGUGAGGCCCUCACAUUGUGCAAAAGAAUGCUUUUCCUCGAGUCACCUCAGACAACCCCUGGAAAAUACUAAAUGCCCCUCACAGCCACAGCCAGGGCCUCCAGCUACAGCCUCCCAGCCUUUCUCUGCCUUUAUGGCACAACCUGGAUUCGCUAGAGAAAUGGCUGUUUCCCCCUCCAGCCUCCCCGGCAGGGUUCGCUCUACUCUUGCCCUGAAGCCUCUGCUCUGCAGGCUUCCAGCAGGUCAGCAUUGCCCCUUUCUAGCUUUUGGUGCCACGCAAUCCAUCUACUUUAUUCUCCAACUAUCUUUUGUUCAAAUUUACAAGCCAAUGAAGAUCCUACUUAGAGCCAAGAAAUAUAGCUAGUGUGGAGGUGCUUGCACCAAGCAAAGCAGCCUUAAGUUUGAUUAAAUGCCCGCAUCUCCCAAGCUCAGAGGCCCCACCGGCUUCCUCAUUUGGCCUGUAGCUGGUCCUGCUUUCAUUCAAGCCACAGGGUUUUUAAAUGUUCGAGUAUUAUCAGUUUCAUUUUUCUGCUGCUUCAUGUCUGAAGGGCCAUUAUGUUUGACCUAGCAGAGCAAACAUGCAGUACGUCAGGUAAUUGAAGUUUCAGUUGCCUUUGUGAAUUGUUAGAAUCCUAACAGCAGUUAGAGCGUCAUUGCUAUGGGGACAGAAAGGCCAACACACGCCUUACAGUGAACUUAGCAUCCAGUGUGUAAAUGGCAGCUUCCCGGUAUGGAUAAUUAUGUCCCUUUUUCUCAUUUGGCAUUGUCUAGUUUAUAUAUUUUUAAUUAGAUUAAAAUGAAGGAAUUUGCACAAGACGUUGUCAGAUCCAGCCCUGAAAAUUAGCUGGCAACAGUUAACGAUGAGUCACAGCUACUAGCCCCUAUGAAAGUGCGUGUUGUGAACCACUGUGCUGUGCAAGCCUUCUGUUUGUGUUAUUUGGCUUAAUCCUCAUGAGAGUCAGAAAGAACCCAGUUCCAGGGGACAAUUGACGGGGGUCCCACAGCUGGAAGGCAGUGACCCUGGAAUCGCCACCCACAGCUGUGGGACCACAGUGCUCCAUGUCCCAGCUGUUUGGCCCACAUAGUGGUGAGAGCUGCGAUUGCCCACGGCCGGGCUGUCUGAAAUCAACAACCUGCUACCUCAGUGGAGCUUGAAAUUCAGUUUCCACAUCACCUAAGGUGAAUAAUACACAUGCUUGAUGUGAGUAAUUUUCAGAGUUACACUAUCCAGGGCUAGGAGAAAUGUGCUCCUGGGCUAGCAUCUUUUUUCCCCCCUAAGUUAUUUGGAAACAAACAGAGAAACAGGUCCAGUUCAGUUUCUCAAAUGUUCACCUUGACAAACCAUGGGGAAUGCUGACUACUGGUUGGCACGUUCAUUUCCUCAGUCAAAAAUUAUCCCUUGAGACCUACUUUGGAGGAAAAAAGAGCCCCUCCCCCACUGGCUUCUUUGCUUGUCAGGUCUCCUCAUUAAAGAGACGACAGUGAGUACAGAGCCUUAAAAAGGGACCCGUGCAGCCACCACCUGGCAGCCAGCUCACCUGACCUGCAACCUGCGCCGUCAAGACUGGCUCAGUGAUGGGGUCUUCCAUUCAAAUCACGUGUCAUUUUUGCCUUAGUGGCUGCUUAGUGCCACUGCGGUGAGAACAGAAGGAUCUCUGACCCCUGACAGGUGAUGUCUUGUCAGCCAGGUUCAUCUUCCCGUUUACUCCAGAGCCUGCCCGCCCUGCUGGACGCAGACGGGGGCUCCACCCUCACUGUCUCCAUUCCUCGGAGCUUCCAAAGGUCCCUGACAUCGAAGAGGUUUCCAGCUGGAACCUGUCUCCCUUGAAUCAGCCCUUCCAAGCCCAUUGCUUAAACCGUUGCUGGGGCCUUGCUGUCUCUCAGCGUGUAUGGGUCUUGAGACGUAGCCAUCAAAACCCAGUGUUUCCAGCAAGAAACUUUAAAUAUUAAAUAUCUUAAAACCACAGCCUUCUUAGGCAGAAGAAAAGUCAGUGAAUGGGCUUUAGAUAAUCAUCAGAAAAGUCAUUUGUGGAAAUUUAAAGAAUGUGAUUGUUUCUUUUAAUGAUACAUUCUCCUGAGACUAGAAGACCACUUAACUGGUUCUGUUCCAAAAUCCUGUCGAGGCCAAAAGACGGGCCCAAAUUCUUGCUGGAACAGAAGGCUGGGAGAGGUCUGGGACACAGAUUUUAAAGCUGGAAAAACUGCAAAACAACAUCCCCCAAAGAAAUCAGAUGACCCCCUGGAUAGGCAGACAGCUCUGAUGCCAGCCAACCUCAGAUGCUCCUCAAUCAGAACUUGUAUUCAUUGGCCCCAUAAUUAAGAAUCUUAACGAGAAAGACUUGAAACCAGCUGUCAAAAUUAGGCUGUCUUACCAGCAGAAUUUCAAAAAGGCGGACGGGCUUUGGGGUCCAUGUUGCCCUCAUCACUGUGGCCAGACCUUCUGUCAGAAUCCUUUGUCCGAAAGGUUGAUUGUGUGAAGCAUGCAUUUUUAUACCAGCAUCAUCCAAAGGAAAUAGGGUAAGAUUCUUUCCAUGGGUCAAACUCAUUUUCUGCAGCGCAGACGAGGCCUCACAGUGAUCUGUGACUCAACUCCGGCCUCCCCAGAAGGAACAGCGGAGCCUGGGGGUUGAGCCUGUAGGACACCCCUGCCCCCGCCCCAGGGCAGCUGAGCCAGUAUUUCUGGCCUCACAGAUGGAGAACAUUUUUCCUCCCCACGAACUGCGAGAAAUUUCUUCGGUCUAUUCAAGCUGAUCUGUAUUCCAGAACAAUUCUGGGCAAGGUCCGUUAGUAAGACUUUAACAAUUUACUGUGCAGCAGGUGCAGACCUUAAAGAAGCUUUUGUUGUGCUGAGUAAUAUCAUGAGCUGGGGAGGGAGUCUUCGAAAUUAACUUCACGUGGUCCUCCGUCUGCCUGAUGCCAGAUUUCGCACCAGGAAGAUACUCUGCGUUUCCUUCGUUGGGACCAAACGACUGUUCUGCUCUGGACUGUGUAACUCCUUCACACCGACCGUCUACCAGAUCACCAAGGCGCCAACAAUAUUCAUUCUUCUGCAGGCUACUGACACUAUUUUUCACAUUUUGGUCUGAGCACAGGGAAUUGCCUUGGGUUUAAACAAACAUAACCUCGAGAGCAUUUUUGUCCCUCAGAGAGAGUUACCCCAGGACAGUGGUUCUUCUAAUGUGGUUCCCCAGCCAAUCAAUGGCAGCCGAAUCCCCUGGGAACUUGUUAGAAGCAUUAUUCCCAGGCCCUGCCCAGAGUCGAAACACAAGACCCUGGGGCACGAUUGCCAUGCCAAUUCAGCGACUUGGGGAGACCCUGAUCCAGUACCCAUGGGACAGGGGCUGGGGAUCCGUCUCUGCGGUCAGUUCUCCAGUUUGUUUUGUUAUCUUAUUUCCUACACAGGAAAACACUGCACGGAGAAACGAGGCAGCAGGGAAAAUAUUCUUACUCUGAGUCACUCUGGCCAGGGCCGGUCCUAAGGUAAUUUAAAAGGAAUUGAUUCUUAAUUACCCAGAACGUGGGCGCAUAGGACCAGAGAUGACCUUUCGGGUCCAAGGAGCUGAGCGUGAAGAGCCCUCACUCCACCAAGGCUUGAAUCAUUUUAAAUCAAUUUGCUGCUUAUUAAAAUGCACUUGAACAAAAAACCUUUUCAACUCUUCAGCCACGAAAGGAUAGCCAAUCAUUGAAAGCUUCCUGAGUGUUUCAGUUGAUUAAAAAGGUUUUAAAGAGCAUGGUAAAUAUUUUACCAGAAGGGUGAGUUAUUCACUAAGGAGAUGAUUUAUUAAAAACUAGUAAUUUCUUAGUUAAUUUAUCUUUAUUUUCAAGAAAAUGCAUUCUUUUCAUGUGGGCCUACUUCUUUUCUGUCCUCACAGCAAGUAAGCUGUGCGUUGAUAAUUCCCUAAUACAUCUAUUGAAGUAGAGUUUUUGUGAAAGUAACAAGAUUUUACCAAUAAAAAAGAAAGAGGUGUAUAAAAUUUCAUUUUGAAAACAACUCUAGGAGGGUUUUAAGAAGAGUUUCAUGUACUUAAAAAGAAACCGUGUUUGCUGUUUUGGAAAAAGAGCAAGUUUCUUAUCUCUUGAGUCAUCCAUCCUAAAGGAAAUAACUAAUGCAUGACUUUUUCUUCUUCUUAUCGGUAGGAAAGAAAGCAUUUAAUGCUUAGUCUCAAAACCAAGGCACUGAGUUCAAGUACUUAUGGCCAAAUAGUUUGUUUUGAUAAUUAAAAAAAUCAGGAUAGUUUCUGUUGCAAGCAAUGACUAAAAAAUGGCUCUAACAGUAAAGGAUAUUUAAUGACCUCAUAAAAUGAGAAGUCCAGAGACCAGCAGUUUCUGGGGUGUUUCAUCAGUCAGUCCCACUCCGUCCUGACUCCAGGCUGGCUGCUCUGUACUUUGCCCUCCCCCUGACAUAGUAUCUCCACCCACCACAUCUGGGGACAGCCCAACCCCCCCCCCCCAAAAAAAAAGAUACGAUGAAAUCCUAGCCAAGACCUCAUAACGUGGCCUUAGUGAGAAACAAUCUGCAGAAGUCAUCGAGUUGCGGUCAGGUGUUCACACUGCGGCACAGUGGGUUAAGAGGCUCAGGUUGCUGCAGAGGCACAGGUUCGAGCCCCUGACUGGCACAUUGGGUUCAAGGAUCCAGCAUUGCCACUGCUGCUGCAUGGAUCAGAGCUGCAACUUAGAUUCAAUCCCCGGCCCAGGAGCUUCCAUAUGUGGAAGAUUUGGCCUUUAAAAAAAAAAGUUGGGAGUUCCCGUCGUGGCUCAGGGGUUAACAAAUCUGACUAGGAUCCAUGAGGUUGCAGGUUUGAUCCCUGGCCUCACUCAGUGGGUUAAGGAUCCAGUGUUGCUGUGAGCUGUGGUCGAAGGUCGAAGACGCGGCUCGGAUCCCCUGUUGCUGUGGCUCUGGUGUAGGCCAGCAGCUACAGCUCCGAUUGGCCCCCUAGCCUGGGAACCUCCAUGUGCCGCAGGUGUGGCCCUAGGAAAGACAAAAAGACAAAAAAAAAAAAAAA
rnacentral:lncRNA from 1 species